rnacentral:rRNA from 1 species
AUUGAACGCUGGCGGAAUGCUUUACACAUGCAAGUCGAACGGUAGAGGGGGCAACCCCUCGAGAGUGGCGAACGGGUGAGUAAUAUAUCGGAACGUGCCCAGUCGUGGGGGAUAACGUAGCGAAAGUUACGCUAAUACCGCAUACGAUCUAAGGAUGAAAGCGGGGGAUCGCAAGACCUCGCGCGAUUGGAGCGGCCGAUAUCAGAUUAGGUAGUUGGUGGGGUAAAGGCUCACCAAGCCAACGAUCUGUAGCUGGUCUGAGAGGACGACCAGCCACACUGGAAGUGAGACACGGUCCAGCGUCCUACGGGAGGCAGCAGUGGGGAAUUUUGGACAAUGGACGCAAGUCUGAUCCAGCCAUUCCGCGUGCAGGAUGAAGGCCCUCGGGUUGUAAACUGCUUUUGUACGGAACGAAAAGGUCUCUCUUAAUACGGGGGACUCAUGACGGUACCGUAAGAAUAAGCACCGGCUAACUACGUGCCAGCCGCCGCCGUAAAAC